rnacentral:lncRNA from 1 species
AUGAUCAGCCUGGAAGAACUAUCUCAAGUUACUUGGAGGGGUAAUAGUCAUGUGACUACUACUUCAAGUGACAUCCCAACAACUACUACUGAUUUUUCUCUGACUACUUCUACCAGAAGUCAUACUAUAUUUACUACUUCACUUGCUACUAGUAUUGCUGGUGUAUUUACUACUAGUGCACCAGAUAUUUUCCCGACAAGUAUUUCAUCUACCACUCAUUACCCAACAGAAAUAACUUCAAACACCAUGGAUAUUAGUACUAUGUCUGCUCCUCCUAUUACUACUGCUGCUUUUAGUACUAAUACUGCUAUAAUUCCAAGCACUUUCCCAACAAGUAUUUCAUUCCCCACUGAUGCAAUUACUCAUAAUAUUACAGAUACAAUUCUAAGUACCACUACUAGUGGUACUAGUGCUGCUCCCCCUUCUUCUAAUCCAGUUACCAUGAGCAAUACUAGUAUUAGUACUGAUAUUGCUGGUGAUAUUACUAGUAGUACUCCAAGUUCCUUUCAAACAAAUGUUUCAUCCACCACUGAUGCAAUUACUCAUUACACUACAGACACAAUUCUAAGUACCACUACUAGUGGAACUAGUGCUGCUCUCCCUCCUAAUCCAGUCACCAUGAGCAAUAGUAGUAUUAGUACUGCUAGUACUAAUGGUAUUAGCACUAAUAGUACUACUGCUCCAAGUACUUUUCCAAUGAAUAUUUCAUCCACCACUGAUGCAAAUACUCAUUUCACUACAGACACAAUUCUAAGCACCACUACCAGUGGUACUAGUGCUGUUCCCCCUCCUAGUCCAGUUACCAUGAGCAAUAGUAGUAUUAGUACUGCUAGUACUAAUGGUACUAGCACUAAUAGUACUACUGCUCCAAGUACUUUUCCAAUGAAUAUUUCAUCCACCACUGAUGCAAAUACUCAUUUCACUACAGACACAAUUCUAAGCACCACUACUAGUGGUACUAGUGCUGUUCCCCCUCCUAGUCCAGUUACCAUGAGCAAUAGUAGUAUUAGUACUACUGAUGUAUAG